rnacentral:lncRNA from 1 species
GCCUUGCCUCCUUCUACGUGGUGUUACAGUUCCUUUUGAUUUAAAUGAAGGAAACAAAUUGAGGACAUCUUGUUUGGUGAACGAAAUGGAGGAGACAGCUGGCCUUUGUGAAGUCUCAGUGGAUGGAGCGCUGAAAGGACCAGCCUGCCUGUACCAUGUUUCCUCAACAUAUGGAAGAUGUGUGAAUCACGGUAAGCGGUUUUCAUGCCACUCAACGUUUACUACAUUAAAUGUGGGGGGAAAAAAUUACCUUCUCAUCUUAUCUUGA